GGGAAAUACUAACCUCCCUUUCUUGGUCUUUGGGCUCUCAAUGCUCUUGUUCUCCAAUUCAAAACGAUGGCAGAAUCUCAGAAAAUGGUGGCAUUGAAGAAGGCGUACGCGGAAAUAAUACUGAACACGGCGAAGGAGGCAGCGAGUCGAGUGAUGGCGUCGGAGAAGAAAGCGAUUCGCUAUCAGCAGGAUCUUUUUACUGCAAAAGACGAGGCGAUUCGUUUGCUUGUCCGCUUGAAGCAAAUGAUCGACGCUAAGAUAAUUGAAGCAGAGAUAGCAUCCUCAAGCCAGCAAACUAAAAUUGAUGAGCUUGAAGCUCAGCUCCAGGAAGCAGAGGGUGUCAUAGUAGAUCUAAGAGCAGAGUUGAAAUGGGCACGUGAUAAGUUGGAGAAGAUAACUAACAACCAAUUCCAGUCUUUGGAUGGAAAUAUCACAAGUGACAAUGAACCCUCUGACCAAAACACAACACCUGAGCCCAAUAUACUCUCUCCUAAUGUGGGACUCCAACCUGUGACAUCUUGUGACAUGAAGAACUCAUUAUUUGAUCAGAGAAUUUUGGAUAACACGGGCUGCAAUAUAGAACAGACUGAGCAAUCGAGUGUUUCUCAAUUUGGAAGCCAUUCUUCUCAUAACACUGAAUUAGCUUCAGUAAUUAUAAGAAAAGAGGAACCUGAGCUGUACAGAAAUGGAUGUGCUGAAAGAAUUUGUGCAUUGGAAGGGAACUUACUGGCUGGGAAUUUGCCACCUUCUGGAGAAGUUGAUGAACAUGCCCUUAGAAAGAGUGAAUUGAUCAGCAAAGCAACUAAUAAGGAUGAUAAAAAAUCUACUGUUUUUUUCUUUGAAGACCAAGAAUUUGGAAACAGCAAAGAACUUUUAUGGGAAAGAAGGAAAAAAACGUGUUAGGGUUCACACAAUAAGACGAAGAAGGACUCGGUUUGGGAAAACCAAAGCUAAGCUCAAGUCUUGUCCAAGUAAGCUUACGAAACCUUAUCAACCACCAUCCAUUCUGUCUCAUUGCAAAAGAUACUUGACAAAUGGGAAUGGUAAACCUGAUGAAGGUACGCGCCUUCCCUCUAUCAAGACUGACAACAUUGAAAUGAAGAAGCAUUCUAGUGAAUUGGAAAAAAAAUUGCAUUCUCAGAACAGCUGCAUUACAGUUGAGAAGAUGAUUGCUCCUGAAGGGAAAAGACAAAAGACUGUGCAAAGUGGGGAUGCCAUGUCUACCACAUGCACACACUAUCCUGAUCAGCAUGAAACUUGUCAACUCUCUUCUUUUCUAAACCAAUGCAAGUCUUGUUCACUUUCACUCUAUGGUAAGAUCAAAUUAGGUAAUGAUGGGUCAAGCAUGACAGAAAAUGAGGUUAAACUGAAUCCAUUGUCCAGCUUAGAUCCAGCGUUAACACUAGUUAAAGGUGGUGUGAAUCCUCCAUCUGGCUCUACAAAUGUCACAGUGAGUGUUAAGGCAUUAAAUAGAUCAGGUAUCAUCCAUAAUACCUCAAACAAGGAUGUGGAGUUAGCAUAUGAGUUUGUAAAACAGGAAUAUGAGGCUGCUGCCAAUUCAACUCUUCCAUGCUAUGAAUCAAAUCCUGAGAUGGUUAACGUACCACUGGUAUAUUCUGAUUUGGAACACAUCAAAUCAUCCAAAGAAGAUAUGGUUGAUGUACCAUUGCUGUAUUCUGAUUUAGAAGACGCCAAAGCACCCAAAGAAUCUAAGGUUUCUCCUAGGCAAGUAGACAACAAUAGGCUUCUUAAGUACACCUUCCAAAGGAAACGCAAGAAGGAGGCCCCAAGUAGUCCUGAUCAAAACACUUCUCUUGAAAAGAGCACUGUAACAAGGAGAGCUGGAGAGAAGCACAAUGGUUCACCAGACAAAGAGAAAUCUAGCAUAAUAAAUGAAUCAUCUAGGGACAGUAGGCGACUGGCUCAGGUUGCUCGCCAGCUUAUUUCUUUGUCUGGGAAAAGAUGGUGGUAAUUAGGCCAAUUGUUCCUCAAGUCCAACCAGAAAAUGGUUGGAUGUGAUGCUCAAGUUAAAAUUCACUCACCUUUUAUUCGGUGAUACCGGCAUAGUUUUUUUUUCCAAGAAAUCCGAUAAAUAUGCUGCUGUCUGCCAUGCCUGCCCUUCAAAGUAUGAGAGAUAUAGAGAUUACUCAUUAGUAUGAUUAUUACAUUUUAAAUUUCAACUUUCCCCUACAUAUCUUCUUGUGGAGAAUAACCCUUUUCUCAUCUCCAUCUUUUUCUUUUUCACUACAUAGAGAAGUUGUAAUAUCUUCAAUAGUUGCCGGAUUGGCCCGGCAAGCUCCUAGCUGUAUCUUCAGUAACCAAUCCUGCCAUGACAGGUCUUUUUACAGAUAACCUUAAAUUUAAUCUAAUGCUUUGGCAUUCAUUCUUC
rnacentral:misc_RNA from 1 species